rnacentral:rRNA from 1 species
UAGAGUUUGAUCAUGGCUCAGGACGAACGCUGGCGGCGUGCCUAAUACAUGCAAGUCGAGCGGACUUUUAAAAGCUUGCUUUUAAAAGUUAGCGGCGGACGGGUGAGUAACACGUGGGCAACCUGCCUGUAAGACUGGGAUAACUACCGGAAACGGUAGCUAAUACCCGAUACAUCCUUUUCCUGCAUGGGAGAAGGAGGAAAGGCGGAGCAAUCUGUCACUUGUGGAUGGGCCUGCGGCGCAUUAGCUAGUUGGUGGGGUAAAGGCCUACCAAGGCGACGAUGCGUAGCCGACCUGAGAGGGUGAUCGGCCACACUGGGACUGAGACACGGCCCAGACUCCUACGGGAGGCAGCAGUAGGGAAUCUUCCGCAAUGGGCGAAAGCCUGACGGAGCAACGCCGCGUGAGUGAUGAAGGUUUUCGGAUCGUAAAGCUCUGUUGCCAGGGAAGAACGUCUUGUAGAGUAACUGCUACAAAGUGACGGUACCUGAGAAGAAAGCCCCGGCUAACUACGUGCCACCAGCCGCGGUAAUACGUUAGGGGCAAGCGUUGUCCGGAAUUAUUGGCGUAAA